rnacentral:rRNA from 1 species
AGAGUGAACGCUGGCGGUAGGCCUAACACAUGCAAGUCGAACGGCAGCACAGUGGUAGCAAUACCAUGGGUGGCGAGUGGCGGACGGGUGAGGAAUACAUCGGAAUCUACCUUUUCGUGGGGGAUAACGUAGGGAAACUUACGCUAAUACCGCAUACGCCCUUCGGGGGAAAGCCGGGGAUCGCAAGACCUGGCGCGGAUAGAUGAGCCGAUGUCGGAUUAGCUAGUUGGUGAGGUAAUGGCUCACCAAGGCGACGAUCCGUAGCUGGUCUGAGAGGAUGAUCAGCCACACUGGAACUGAGACCACGGUCCAGACCUCGU